GCCCGUGCCUCUCCCUCCACACCUCCCCGCAACUGAGGGAGCCGGCUCCGGCCUCGGCCAGCCCAGAAAGGGGCUCACACAGUGCAGGGCCGGGCUGAAGGGCUCCUUAAGGGCGGCCAGAGUUGGCGCCAAGGCUGAGGAGGUGCCCAGAGCGAGCGAGGGCUGCCAGGGCUGCUAGCAGGCUGUCACCUCUCAAUAGCAGUUUUGUAUAUGGGAUCUAGCCCCUCCCUAAGAGGUUGAUUCUAAGGAAGCCAACAGCCGUGUUGUGAGUACCCAAUGGAAAGUCUGUUGUGGCAGAAAACUGAUGUCUCCAGCCAACAGCACUGAGGCCCUGAGACCUGCCAACUGUCAUGAUCUUCCGAUGCCUGGACACAGAAAGAGCAGUGGAAGGGGUCGUUGCAUGAGCAAAGACAAAGAGUGGGACACUGACUGUUACAUCUCAAGGAGAAGGAUUGCCAGAUCAAAAGUCUUGCAGUUAACCAGGCGUGGUGGCAGAUACCUGUAAUCCCAGCUAUUCGGGAGGCUGAGGCAGGAGAAUCGCUUGUACCCGGGAGGCAGAGGUUGCAGUGAGCUGAGACCGCGCCAUUGACUCCUGCCUGAUGACAAGAGAGAAUCUACGUCUCAACAACAACAACACGCUUGGGCACUGUAUUAACUCCAUAAUCGUCCUUUUCCAGGCAGGAAAUAUAACACUGACCAGAGAACCAAGUUCCUCUCUUGUAUGGAUUGUUUCUGUUAAUUAUCACUCAAAUCUGAACGGUGUGGUAGGACGGAGGGAUACCUUGAAAUCUAAGAAAAGGGGAAAAAAGUGCAAUCGCUACAGUGAUACUUUAGCAGAAGUUUCUAUUGCUAAGUAUUGUGGAGCUCAGAGGAAGAAGUAAAGGCUUCAAGACGUUGAACUUUAAGCUGAGUCUUGAAGGCGGAGUCUUCAAGUUAAAGAAGAGGGGUUAAGGAAAGUCCAGGGAGAAGGAACUGCAUGAGCUGUGAAGAACCAUGAUGCAUUCUUGGAAUUGGUAGCAUUCCCUUUGAAAUAUGGAUUGAAACCCAGGAAGCAUGAAAGAAACAAGAAUUCAAAACUUUAAAUUAAGACAAGACUAUGGUAAAGAGUUUGGCAUUGAACAUUCAGGAAAUGUAACAACUAGAACGAGUAUAAAGGGAAUAAAAUGCAAUUUGUGUUUUUAUA
ensembl:lncRNA MIR4300HG MIR4300 host gene